CAUUAUUUUUUGAAUAGAACCCCAUGUGUGAAUAUUUAAUUCUCCAUUCCGCCAUUAUUUUAUUCACACAAUUAUUCAACAAUUUUACUCCUUCAGUUUCGCCAUUCCGCAAUUCCCAUAUGUAAAGAUUAUCCGCGUGAUUGGUGAUUCCAACAGUUCAUCUAGAUUGUAUAGUAAAAAUGGAAAAGCUAACAGUGAGAAACAUACUUCAAAUUCUUUUUGUUGAAAUUUCCUUACUCCUCCUAAUCCUAACAGCAAUUUCUGCUUUUUCACCCAAUAUUGUCAAAUCCAUACCUGGGUAUCCGGGCGACCUUCCAUUUUAUCUUGAAACUGGGUAUGUUGGGGUAGGAAAAGAUGAAGAAGUGAAGCUAUUUUACUACUUUAUUAAGUCGGAGAGAGACCCUGAAAGAGACCCGCUUAUGCUGUGGCUCACUGGAGGUCCUGGUUGCUCUGCUUUUUCCGGACUGGUUUUAGAGAUUGGUCCUCUGAUUUUCAAUAAUUCUGCUUGCGAUUGGCACUCGAAAUCACCAACGUUUCAGUUAAAUCCGUCUUCUUGGACAAAGGUAGCUAGCAUUAUAUUUCUGGACUCACCCGUUGGCACAGGCUUCUCUUAUGCUACAAAUCCAGAAGGUUACUACAGUGAUGAUAUUACAUCAUCAAGGCAUAUAUAUCAGUUUUUGACAAAGUGGCUUGCUGACCAUGCUGGAUUCCAUAAUAAUCCGCUUUACAUUGCGGGGGUUUCCUAUUGUGGCAAGAUUGUCCCUGUUGUUGUACAUGAGAUUUUCCAGGGAAACAAAGUUGGAUUUCAGCCUUUUAUGAAUCUCCAGGGAUAUGUUCUUGGAAACCCAUUAACAUGGAAGGAGGAUGAAAAGAGAUACCAUCCACAAUUGAAUUAUGCUCACCGCGUGUCUCUUUUAUCGGAUGAGCUCUAUGAGUCAACCAUAAUAAGCUGCAAUGGAGCUUAUCAGGACGCGGACACGAAUAAUAUUAAUUGCACACAUAAUCUUCAAGCCAUAUCAUAUAACCUGGACCCGUUGUUUGAUGCUCAUGUCUUAAAACCGAAAUGCAUAUCAGAUAAAACAUGGUGCCAGGAGAGCAUAACUGGGCUAUUGGAUAACUGGGCUAAUGACAUACAAGUUCAAGCAGCUCUUCACAUUCAAGAGGUAUAUGAACAACAAGUUGGUGACUUCUUGUCUAAAAUAUUAAUGGGUACCAAACGCUAUUGGAUAAGAUGUAAUAGAACUUUAGCAUAUGAAUACAACGUUCAAAGUACCGUUGGUUACCAUCAAAAUCUGACACAAGAGUUCAUCCACGUGUUGAUUUACAGUGGUGACCAAGACAUGAAGAUAUCAUAUGUGGGAACAUUGGGAUGGAUUAAGAUGCUAAAUAUUUCAAUUUCUGAAGAUUGGAGGCCAUGGUUUGUCAAUGAUCAAGUUGCUGGGUGACUUUCUAAAUACUACUUGAACUCGACCAAAUUUAAAUCAAUAUCUUCCUGGCCUGGCUCUCAACUUUACAGGUGCAUGUGCAGGGAGCGGGACAUACUGCUCCAGAGUAUAAGCGUGCUGAAUGCUUCAACAUGGUGAUGAAAUGGUUAGAAUCGCGUCCACUCUAGUACGAGAGUACCAGGUAAUCAAAGGGAGAUUUUGGCACUUGAAUGGAAGGGAGAAUAGGAAAAAACGAGAAGGCGGUUUGAGUUAUGAAGUGAAGAAAGAGGAACUGUUGGCUUUUCUUGAGAAACUGUAUUCCAGUUGGUGUGUAUGCAUUUAUUUAAUUUUUUUAUGGAAACUCAUGAAAUUGCAGUUGGUGUGCAUGCAUUUAUUUAAUUUUUUUUAUGGAAACUCAGGAAAUUGUAAUUCUGAUAAUUUAUUUUGUAGUUGGGGUAUUUAAGUAAUUAAGGGUUGACAGCAAAGGGUCAGGACUAA